UCCUACGGGAGGCAGCAGUAGGGAAUCUUCCGCAAUGGACGAAAGUCUGACGGAGCAACGCCGCGUGAGUGAUGAAGGCUUUCGGGUCGUAAAACUCUGUUGUUAGGGAAGAACAAGUGCUAGUUGAAUAAGCUGGCACCUUGACGGUACCUAACCAGAAAGCCACGGCUAACUACGUGCCAGCAGCCGCGGUAAUACGUAGGUGGCAAGCGUUAUCCGGAAUUAUUGGGCGUAAAGCGCGCGCAGGUGGUUUCUCAAGUCCGAUGUGAAAGCCCACGGCUCAACCGUGGAGGGUCAUUGGAAACUGGGAGACUUGAGUGCAGAAGAGGAAAGUGGAAUUCCAUGUGUAGCGGUGAAAUGCGUAGAGAUAUGGAGGAACACCAGUGGCGAAGGCGACUUUCUGGUCUGUAACUGACACUGAGGCGCGAAAGCGUGGGGAGCAAACAGGAUUAGAUACCCUGGUAGUCCACGCCGUAAACGAUGAGUGCUAAGUGUUAGAGGGUUUCCGCCCUUUAGUGCUGAAGUUAACGCAUUAAGCACUCCGCCUGGGGAGUACGGCCGCAAGGCUGAAACUCAAAGGAAUUGACGGA
rnacentral:rRNA from 1 species